GGGCAAGGUGAGGAGAGAUUUCAUCACUCCAGCAUAUGGGCAACGCAGCCCUUCUUGAAGAGCCCCUCAUUCCCAUCCUGGGGCAUCUGAGUUCCUGAAGUGGGCACAGUGUUUACAGAGUCGGCAAUGGGAUGUGCAGCUUCGCAUCAUCUUAAGGCAGAUUUUACAGAUGCCCAUCGUCUGCUCAUUGACUCUCAGCAUCCCAAACGCCUCAGAGCUGUUUGUGAGUGCCCACGGAUUGAUGGCUGAAUGACUGAACACGCAGCACCACGAGGGCUGACAGUGCCCCAGUCUUGGCACUGACCAACACAGCUGUGCCCAGCUCCAGUGAGUCACCUCGGUAAGCACUGUGCUCCCGCUGCUUGCCGGGACCACGGGACCCAAAGGCCACCAGCCCGGUUUCGGUGCCCUGGUUUUCUUUGCUUGCCCGGCGGUUCCGCCCCACGCCCCACCCCGCAGCGGCGUUAAUGAUGGGGUAGGGAUUGCUCUGGGCUGGCGGGAGGUGUGGGUCACUCUGCCAGGGCAGUGAGCCGCGGUCAGUGGGACGCCGUGACACAGUGCCCCGAGCUGCAGCCAUCGGGGCUGGGCCAUGCUGCCCCAGGCAGUCCAGCCGGGGGAAGGUGCCCUCAGAGGGCCAGCCAGUAGGUGAUUGGGAUCAGUUUCCCCGUCAUGAGACUGUUUUCUUCUCCCAAACUCUGCAGCUGGGUGCAGCGCUGCACAGCUCUGUGGCAGCCCCAGCCCUUCCCUGGCCCAGGGAUCACUGCCAAAGCCCAGCACAGGGCAACCACUGAGCUCCUCUUUUCCGUUUGAAAGCUUAUAUAAAAAAUGAUGAUAAGCUAAAUCUAGAUCUAUGCAGCAAUUAUGUGGGAUGCCAGACCUUGCACCUGUAGCAUAAUACAUAACAGAGCCAGCUAACUGCCUUGUCUAAUGAUUGCUCUGAACAGCAUACAAAUCACAUUAUGGGGGGUGAGCUGAGAGCCAUUUUUCGGCCGAAGCUGAUGAGCUUGCAAAGACUUUCUUUGCCCCAUUCUCUCAGACUGCAGGUUUGUCCUCUUCUCCUUGGAAUCCUUCCUGUUAUUUUUCCACCUUCCUGUCACAGGAUGCAACGUUCAUCACGAUAAUAGAUCAAACUUUGAGUGGAAAAACUCCGCUUUACAGUUGUCUUUAGGAUUUCCCAGUUUCAUUUCCUGCAACCCAUAAUGAGCAGGUGGGGCAUUUUCACAGGAUGCUCGGGUGGGCAAGAGAUGCCUAUAAACAUUAUCCCACCUUAACCUCUCAGCUGUCACCUUGAGGUGGGACAGGCCAUCUUCUGAGGUACCCUAGCUUAGAAGCUUGGAUAACUGGAGAAGACCAGCUCCUGAAUACCAGUCGGGCAAUGGCAGGAGAUGACUCCCACUCUCAUGAUGGAGAAGACAACUCCCACUCUCUCUGGGAACUUAAAAUGUCCGUAUUGAUUUCUUAACCUGAAAUGUGCUUUGAAAACCCUGUCUGGAGAGCCUGCUUUGUCUCCCUGCACCUAAAUACUUUUGAAGCGUGGUCAGAGAUGCUCCCAACAUGUGCUCUGGAUUCUCUGGUGAGAGACACAGGAGGAAGUUUUGAGGUGGAAGAGCAGCAUCGGUGUCAAUUUGUUUGGAAGGAUUUUUGUGGACUGGACUUCUGUGGCUUUGCUUGCUUCCUGUUACUCUUAUGUUAUCAGCAUGAAAAUAUUAAAUUAGGUGACCAAUGUAGCCAGUAAGGCUGGCCACAGCUAUUAUAUAACGUCUGGUUGCUGUAAACAUCUCCAUGAUCGUUUCUUUGAUUGCAGUGCAAACAUAUCCUGUGCACAAUAUGUGGGUUACCAGGUAGAGUUAUGUCAUGACUCAGGAUGAGCCAAUAUCAUAAGCAAACGUUAAUGAAGGGUGGGAUUUUCAUUAGUUUCCCCGUAUUGACCUAUUUCACUUCCUAUCCAAGGCAGCAGCUGAAAAGAGCUGGCCUAAAUGGAUCAGCGUUCUGCAGCCCAAAAUCGUGAUGCAGGGCUGGAGGGAGCCCCGUUCUACCCAGGGUGGCUGUUCUCAUCUGACAUUAUGACAAAUAGUCCUAGGCUCCUUCUGUAUUAAAAAUAAAAGCCUUGAACUUGCAUAUUUCCUUAUGGAAAAAAAAAAAAAAAAGCUAUCUUGGGAUCCUGCUUAUACAACUGGAACAACUUUUGUUCUCCACCCCACCUAAAGACAAGCAAAAGGCUUUUAUGUUCUCUAGGUUAUUAAUGGACGGGGCUUCCUCUGCUGAGAGGAUGUUUGGAGCACUGCUAAAAUCUCUGCUCAGGUCCCUUGAAUCAGGACAAGUGAUCUUACAUCACCUUCCUGAGCUAAUUGCCAGCCUCUAAAAGACACAUUUUU
rnacentral:lncRNA from 1 species